rnacentral:rRNA from 1 species
GAUGAACGCUGGCGGCGUGCCUAAUACAUGCAAGUCGAGCGAACAGACGAGGAGCUUGCUCCUCUGACGUUAGCGGCGGACGGGUGAGUAACACGUGGAUAACCUACCUAUAAGACUGGGAUAACUUCGGGAAACCGGAGCUAAUACCGGAUAAUAUAUUGAACCGCAUGGUUCAAUAGUGAAAGACGGUUUUGCUGUCACUUAUAGAUGGAUCCGCGCCGCAUUAGCUAGUUGGUAAGGUAACGGCUUACCAAGGCGACGAUGCGUAGCCGACCUGAGAGGGUGGUCGGCCACACUGGAACUGAGGCACGGUCCAGACGCCUACGGGAGGCAGCAGUAGGGAAGCUUCCGCAAUGGGCGGAAGCCUGACGGAGCAACGCCGCGUGAGUGAUGAAGGUCUUCGGAGCGUAAAACUCUGUUAUUAGGGAAGAACAAAUGUGUAAGUAACUAUGCACGUCUUGACGGUACCUAAUCAGAAAGCCACGGCUAACUACGUG